rfam:Schistosoma rodhaini strain Burundi genome assembly, scaffold: SROB_scaffold0000415
AUCCAGAUGACGAGUCCCAAAUGGGACGAAACGCGUCUUGUCCUGGAU